rnacentral:rRNA from 1 species
CAGUAACUGACGCUGAGGAGCGAAAGCGUGGGGAGCGAACAGGAUUAGAUACCCUGGUAGUCCACGCCGUAAACGGUGGGUACUAGGUGUGGGUUUCCUUCCUUGGGAUCCGUGCCGUAGCUAACGCAUUAAGUACCCCGCCUGGGGAGUACGGCCGCAAGGCUAAAACUCAAAGAAAUUGACGGGGGCCCGCACAAGCGGCGGAGCAUGUGGAUUAAUUCGAUGCAACGCGAUGAACCUUACCUGGGUUUGACAUGCACAGGACGACGGCAGAGAUGUCGUUUCCCUUGUGGCCUGUGUGCAGGUGGUGCAUGGCUGUCGUCAGCUCGUGUCGUGAGAUGUUGGGUUAAGUCCCGCAACGAGCGCAACCCUUGUCUCAUGUUGCCAGCACGUAAUGGUGGGGACUCGUGAGAGACUGCCGGGGUCAACUCGGAGGAAGGUGGGGAUGACGUCAAGUCAUCAUGCCCCUUAUGUCCAGGGCUUCACACAUGCUACAAUGGCCGGUACAAAGGGCUGCGAAGCCGCGAGGUGGAGCGAAUCCUUUAAAGCCGGUCUCAGUUCGGAUCGGGGUCUGCAACUCGACCCCGUGAAGUUGGAGUCGCUAGUAAUCGCAGAUCAGCAACGCUGCGGUGAAUACGUUCCCGGGCCUUGUACACACCGCCCGUCACGUCAUGAAAGUCGGUAACACCCGUAAGCCGGUGGCCUAACCGUAAGGGAGGGAGCCG